AUUGAACGAGGGGGGGAGGAUGAACACAUGCAAGUCGAACGGUAACACGAAGCAGUUUGCUGCUUCGCUGACGAGGGGCGGACGGGUGAGUAAUGUCUGGGAAACUGCCUGAUGGAGGGGGAUAACUACUGGAAACGGUAGCUAAUACCGCAUAACGUCGCCAGACUAGAGAGGGGGACCUUAGGGCCUCUUGCCAUCGGAUGUGCGCAGAUGGGAUUGGCUGGUAGGUGGGGUAACGGCUCACCUAGGCGAGCAUCGCUAGCUGGUCUGAGAGGAUGACCAGCCACACUGGAGCUGAGACACGGUCCAGACGCCUACGGGAGGCAGCAGAGGGGAAUAGUGCACAAUGGGCGGGAGCCUGAUGCAGCCAUGCCGCGUGUAUGGAGACGGCCUUGGGUUUGGAAAGUAGGCUCAGCGGGGGGGAAGGGAGUAAGGUUAAGACCUUGGCUCAUUGACGUUACCCGGAGAAGAAGCACCGGCUAACUCCGUG
rnacentral:rRNA from 1 species